UUCAUUUUACAAAAUAUCAUAGAAGGACUUUCCUCUCUCUCUUUCUCUCUCUAUCUUGCUUUCUCUGUCUUCAUCUCACCUCCGAUUCACCAUGUUUACAUGGUAUCAGAGCGUGGUUCUUUCUCUCAGACAUACUCUCUAUCUUCCUGGUUCCUUUGGUCUGAGUUCAUCGCAUUAUCGGUGGUAGUUUCUGGUUUUUCAAAGUUGUUGGUGAAGAUUCUGGAUUUUUUGAUAUUUUGGUGAAAUCGGAGUUGCUUCGUUAGCGAUUCUUCCAGCGAGGUGUUAGGGUGAGUUUCCGACACCUAUUGUGCAUCAUUCCACCGGUUUCUCUCCAAGUUAGGGUUUCUCUGCAACAAAGCUAGGGUUUCUCUGCAAUUUUUUUUGAAGGCCGUGUCUUCUCCGGUUGCGUAGAAGUCUGGUAACCCUAUUCUCACUCUCGAUUAGAGUUUGCAUGUGUUCUGUUGCUGAAAUAUUUGUUGUAUUGUGUAGCACAUAGAUAUUGUAUCAAUCUCUUCUUAUCCUUGUUAUUCUGUUUCUGAUGGCGAACAUGAACCCUGUUAAUUCCUCACCCAAGUUAGCGCAUAGAUAUUGUAUCAAUUCCUUCUCAUCCUUGUUAUUAUGUUUCUGAUGGCGAACAUGAACCCUGUUAAUCCCUCACCCAUUGACCCUACAAAUCCUCUAUUUGUUUACUCUUCUGAUGUCCCCGGUGUUUCUCUUAUUCCUAUUCCUUUCUCGGGUAGUGGCUAUGGGGGUUGGAAGAGAAAGAUGAUAGUCGCCUUGUCGGCUAAGAACAAAAAUGGUUUUGUUGAUGGAACUUGUCCUAGACCAAACACUAACCUGGCUGAACAGAGAUGACGGGAUAGAUGCAACAAUAUGGUCAUCUCCUGGUUGACUGCUUCUCUGUCUCCUCAAAUUGCUGAGAGUGUUCAAAACUCUGAGACUGCACAGAGUAUAUGGGCACAACUCGAAGCCAGAUAUGGCACAACCAAUAGGACCAAAAUUUUUGAACUUAAAAGAGAACUUUCUCACACUUCUCAAGGACCCCUAGAUAUAGCAUCAUAUUUUAACAAACUCAAAGGGUAUCCUCAAUUUAUAGAAGUCCACACCUGAGACUGCACAGAGUAUAUGGGCACAACUCGAAGCCAGAUAUGGCACAACCAAUAGGACCAAAAUUUUUAAACUUAAACGAGAACUUUCUCAUUCUUCUCAAGGACCUCUAGAUAUAGCCUUCUAUUUCAACAAACUCAAAGGGUUAUGGGAUGAGUUAGGGACAAUGUGCCCAAAUCAUGGACAGAGAUGUAUCUGUGCUGCCAAACCUGGCAUUAUAAAGGAGGAUGAGGACAAUAAGGUGUUUCAAUUCCUCAUGAGUCUUAAUGAAACAUAUAUGGGGGUGAGGAGCAACUUGUUAAUGAUGCAACCUCCUCCUAGUCUUGACAGUGUCUACAACGUCCUCCUCAAUGAUGAAAAAUAGAGACAAGUUCAGUUUGUCUCCGAGUUUAAUCCUGACUCUAUGUUCUUCAGUGUCAAUACACAUAAACCUCCUACACCUCCUUUCAAUCAAGCUGCCUUGCCCAAUUCUCCUCCUCUCAGACAGUAUGCCCAGAGAGUUGCUUUUGAUCAGUCCAGAGGACCCCUCUUCUGUAGAUAUUGCAAGAAGUCUGGGCACUUAAUUGAUAAGUGCUACAAACUUCAUGGAUUUCCUCAAAGCAUCAGGUUUAACAAAGGGAAGAGACCUACUGUUGCCCAUGUCACCACUGGUGUUGAUUUCACAUCUUCCCCUUCUUCUGAUGGUCACAAUUCUCCUGCUUCUGGAAAUCAUACUGAGGGUUAUUAACCUGUCCAACAUGUAGAUGGACAUAGUUCUGUUAUUCCUGGAUUGAGCAGACACCAUUAUGAUCAAUUGAUGAAUCUGCUCCAACAGUCCAAUUUGGGUGACUCCACUGCUCAGACUUCUCCUGCUCAGACCUCCAUUAUGAUCAAUUGAUGAAUCGUCUGCAACAGUCCAAAUUGGGUGACUCCACUGCUCAGACUUCUCCUACUCAGACCUCUCCUACUAUGUGUGCUGCCAACUUUGCUGGUACUAUGCUUACUGAGAGUCCUGUUUCUAAUUCCAAACUCGGUCUACUUACUCAUAUUGCUUCUGUCUCCUGGAUAAUAGAUUCUAGAGCUUCUGAUCACAUGACAUCUAAUAAAUACUUACUCUUCAAUAUCACACCUUUUCUUGUACCUUAUCUUGUCACUCUUCCUAAUGGAUACAAAGUAAAAGUAACUUCAACUGGCUCU
rnacentral:lncRNA from 1 species